rnacentral:tRNA from 1 species
AGCAGUGUGGUGUAACUGGCAACACACGUGACUUUGACUCACAUAUUUCAGCGGGGCGGCCCGUGCCGUUCAAAUCCUGGCGCUGCUGCCA